GAGACUCUGUGCGCGUGCAUAUCAAUAAGCGGAGGAAAAGAAACUAACAUAGGAUUCCCUCAGUAACGGCGAGUGAAGCGGGAAGAGCUCAAAUUUGAAAUCUUCAAGGGUUCUACCUUGACGAAUUGUAGUUUAAAGAAGUGUUUUCUGUUGGAGUUUUGGUAAAAGUUCUUUGGAAUAGGACAUCAUAGAGGGUGAGAAUCCCGUAUUUGACCAGUUACUUUCCAGCUGUGUGAUACACUUUCAAAGAGUCGGAUUGUUUGGGAAUGCAGUCCAAAAUGGGUGGUAAAUUUCAUCUAAAGCUAAAUAUUGGCGAGAGACCGAUAGCGAACAAGUACCGUGAGGGAAAGAUGAAAAGAACUUUGAAAAGAGAGUUAAACAGUACGUGAAAUUGUCAAAAGGGAAGCGUUUGACACCAGUGUUGUUUAGUUGAAAAUCAAUUCAAUAAUUUUUGAUUCUGAGUAGUAUUGACUUCAUCAGCUUGCUGCUUUCUUCUCAGGAAAUUAUUGAAUGCACUUUUCAGUUAACAAGUCAACAUCAAUUUCUUUUGUUGUAAAAGGGUAAGAGGAAGGUGGCUUACGCUUCGGCGUCAAGUGUUUAUAGCCUUUUAUCUCUGCAAUCGGAGAGAUUGAGGUACAUGCAGCGUAGACUCCUUCGGGGUUAGAUACACUUGUGCUAAGCUAUAGCCUUGUAUAGACAACUUGUUGACUAUGCUCAGUCAUGUAGCUUACUCGCUGAUGCUAUUUUACCUACGCUUAGGAUGUUGAUCUGUAGUGCGUGCGC
rnacentral:rRNA from 1 species